rnacentral:rRNA from 1 species
AUGAACGCUAGCGGCAGGCUUAACACAUGCAAGUCGAGGGGUAGAAGGAGCUUGCUCCUUUGAGACCGGCGCACGGGUGCGUAACGCGUAUGCAAUCUACCUUUUGCAGAGGGAUAGCCCAGAGAAAUUUGGAUUAAUACCUCAUAGUAUGUGAGGAUGGCAUCAUUUUCACAUUAAAGUCACAACGGCAAAAGAUGAGCAUGCGUCCCAUUAGCUAGUUGGUAAGGUAACGGCUUACCAAGGCUACGAUGGGUAGGGGUCCUGAGAGGGAGAUCCCCCACACUGGUACUGAGACACGGACCAGACUCCUACGGGAGGCAGCAGUGAGGAAUAUUGGACAAUGGGCGCAAGCCUGAUCCAGCCAUGCCGCGUGCAGGAUGACGGUCCUAUGGAUUGUAAACUGCUUUUAUACAGGAAGAAACACUACUUCGUGAAGUAGCUUGACGGUACUGUAAGAAUAAGGAUCGGCUAACUCCGUG